AAAUUCCUGAAAUGUGCGCUAGCCUCUGUUUUGAACCUACAUUUUCUAUAUGGGAUUUCAAAUUCGUCGGUGUAUGGCAGGCCUCAAGAUAAUUCCCUUAGGGCAGAGGAAGCCAAAAGCCGCCAUGAGGAAACCCACCUGGCUUUAGCUAGGGCGUCAAAAUGGGGUAAUGGCAUUUCGGGGCUUUU
rnacentral:other from 1 species